CCUACGGGAGGCAGCAGUAAGGAAUAUUGGUCAAUGGAGGCAACUCUGAACCAGCCAUGCCGCGUGCAGGAUGACGGCCCUAUGGGUUGUAAACUGCUUUUAUACAAGAGAAAACCCUGGUACGUGUACCAGGUUGAUAGUAUUGUAAGAAUAAGCAUCGGCUAACUUCGUGCCAGCAGCCGCGGUAAGACGAAGGAUGCAAGCGUUAUCCGGAUUCAUUGGGUUUAAAGGGUGCGUAGGCGGACUGAUAAGUCAGUGGUGAAAUCUCUUUGCUUAACAAAGAAACUGCCAUUGAUACUGUCGGUCUAGAGUAUAGAUGACGUUGGCGGAAUAUGACAUGUAGUGGUGAAAUACUUAGAUAUGUCAUAGAACACCGAUUGCGAAGGCGGCUAACGAAACUAUAACUGACGCUGAGGCACGAAAGUGCGGGGAUCAAACAGGAUUAGAUACCCUGGUAGUCCGCACCGUAAACGAUGAUUACUCGUUGUUGGCGAUAUGACAGUCAGCGACCAAGCGAAAGCGAUAAGUAAUCCACCUGGGGAGUGCGCCGGCGAACGGUGAAACUUAAAGGAAUUGACGG
rnacentral:rRNA from 1 species